rnacentral:lncRNA from 1 species
AAUGAAGGUUGAACAGGUAAAGUGAGGACCGUACAGUGGAAAGCGAGAAUCCUGUGUGCCCUGAAGGUAAUGAAGAAGCCUCUGCAAAAGAGUCUUUUCUGUCAGUCUUAAGGUCUCUGUUUUAACGUUAAUGCUGGCUUGCUGUGCCUGAAUUCCAAGGGAGGCGUGUAUUAUGAGGCAUGGCCAACCCCCACCCGUCAUUGCCUGAACUGGUUUUUCAGGUUAACUUAAGAAUGCCCUUGGGCAAGCAGAGGGUCCAUCAGUAGGUUGGAGGGUUUCGAAUUUUACUGUUGGUUUGCAGAGGUCUGAAAGAAACAUGCACCAGCUGUUCUCUCUGAAGACUUCUACCUGUGAGGUCUCAUUUACAUAACAAGACCGUGGUUGUCAGCCAGGUCUCCCACUCCCAUAACCUGUUAUGCCACAAUCCAAACCCCCAUUCUGUAACCUCAAGAUGGUAUAUAAGCUUCUGAACCCCAUUUGGGGCUUCAGCAAAAUCACUCUAGUUCUCCCCCAUGUGCAUGUUAAUAAAUUUGUAUGCCCUUUCUCCAAUUAAUCUGCCUUUUGUCAGUUGACUUUUCAGUGAACCUUCAGAGAACAAAAAGGAAGCUUUCCAUUGGCUACUACAGUGGCUUUAAUGGAAGUAAAGUCAUCAACGUUUAUUUUUGACAAAAUCACAGUUUAAUUGGCAGUAUAUUUGUUUUCUUUUUGUUUUAUUUGAGAUGGAGUCUCACUCUGUCGCCCAGGCUAGAGAGCAAUGGCGCGAUCUUGGCUCACUGCAGCCUCCGCCUCCCCAGUUCAAGCAUUCGCCUGCCUCAGCCUCCCGAGCAGUUGAGUAGUAGUAUAUUUGUAAUGGUACAUAAAAUAAUGUCUGUUUUUAAAUAAACAUUUACAUUGUGAAUCAAAAGUUAUCUCAACUCUCCAUCAAUUUUUUUUUUCUUUUUUGAGAUGGCAUCUUGCUCUGUCACCCAGGCUGGAGUGCAGUGGCUGCAACCUCUGCCUCCUGGGCAAGUGAUCCUCUUGCCUCAGCCUCCUGAGCAGCUGGAGUUAUAGGUGUGUGCCACCACACCCAGCUAAUUUUUGUAUCUUUGGUAGAGACAGGGUUUCGCCAUGUUGGCCAGGCUUGUCUCAAAUUCCCGACCUCAGGUGAUCUGCCCGCCUCAGCUUCCCAAAGUGCUGGGAUUAUAGGCAUGAGCCACCGCAUCCGGCAUCCAUCAGUUUAGAAAGUUUAUUUCACCAAGGUUAAGGUUGCGCCCAUGGCAGCCCCAGAAGGCCCUGACAACAUGUGCCCUAGGUGGUCAGGGUACAGUUUGCUUUUGUACAUGUUAGGGAGACAUGAGACAUCAAUCAGUAUGUGUAAUAUGUACUUUAGUCAGGUAAAGCUGAACUUGAGGCAAGGGCUUCCAGGUCAUGAGUAGAUAAGAGGCAAAAGAUUGCAUUCUUUUGAGUCCUUGUUCAGCCUUCCACUGAAUACACAAUUUAGGCUGGCUCAGUGAAUCAUCAUUUUUACAUAAACAGUAGGGGAGGGGAAACAAUCAUAUAUGCAUUUGUCUCAGGUGCACCUUAGAGGGAUAACUUUUGAGUUCUGUCCGUCCUUUUUCCACAAGGAAUUUCCUUGUAUGCAAAUUUUAAGGGAGGUAUGUAGCCUCUUAUCUUGGUAGCUAUAUCUUAUUUAGGAAUAGAAUGGGAGGCAGGUUUGUCUGACAUAGUUCCCAGCUUGACUUUACCCUUUUAAGGGAGGAGAUCACCCCUCAUAUUGUCUUAUGCCCAGUUUCUGCCUCCAAAGAAAGAAGAAGUAAAAGCUAAAAGGCAGAAAUGAAAUCCACAAGCAGACAGCUGAACGCCACACCCUGGGCCUGGUAGUCAAAGAUCGACCCCUGACCUAAUCAGUUAUGUUAUCUAUAGAUUACAGACAUUGUAUAGAAAAGCACUGUGAAAAUUCCUAUCCUAUUUUGCUCCAAUUUAAUUACCAGUGCAUGCAGCCCCCAGUCACGUAUCCCCUGCUUGUUCAAUCGAUCACGACCCUGUCAUGUGCACCCCCUUAGAGUCAUGAGCCCUUAAGAGGGACAGGAAUUGCUCACUUGGGGAGCUCGCCUCUUGAGACAGGAGUCUUGCCAAUGCGCCCAGCCAAAUAAACCCCUUCCUUCUUUAACUCGGUGUCUGAGGAGUUUUGUCUGCGACUUGUGGAACAUCCCUGUGGGGGACCCCGACCAGCCCGAGUGACGUGGAUCCUGAGAGCGCUCCCAAGUAGGCAUUUGCCCCGGUGGGACACCUCGCCAGAGCAGUGUGUGUCAGGCCCCCAUGGAGAAUCAAUGCAGGAGCUGAACACCGGGAAGGAACGGGCACUUGGAGGCUGGACAUCUAAAACUUGCCACCAUGUAAGAAGUGCCUUUCACCUCUCACCGUGAUUCUGAGGCCUCCCCAGCCAUGUGGAGCUCCAGGUGUGGUGGCGCAUGCCUGUAGUUCCAGACUCAACAGGCUGAUGCAGAAAGAUCAUUUGAGACAAGGAGGUUAAGGCUGCAGUGAGCUGUGAUUGCACCACUGUACUCCAGGCUGGAUGACAGAGAAAUGCUUCAUUUUGAAAAAAAAAAAGAAAAAAAAUUCUUAGAUGGGACCCUCUGUAACAAAUGACAGAUUAAAAUGAGAAAAAUGUGGAAAAGUCUGAAAACAUGUAUACCUUAUGGAUACAUGGGAGACACUCAGGGAAAAAUGAGUAAAUCUCCAACAAUUGGCUUUCAAUUCAAGUGUAAAUACUAUCUUCAACUUAAAGAAGAUUUGAGGUGCAGUAAUGGGAAGGUAACCAGCAAAAGGACAGUAGGUAAAGUUUGAUAUACAGACUUAAGUGCGUGCAUUCUCCGUUGAUAAGACUCUUCAGUGAUUUAGUUAUCCUUCUCUUCUUGGUGGAAAGAGAGAUAGGUAGCUUUUAAAUGGGGAUUUCCUUUAUAGAUGUUAAUUUUCCUUACACAAGAGUAACUUCUACUCUGUUUUCAGAACUUCUUUCAUAGCAUUUUUUCAAAAUAAUCAUCUUGGAAUAAUUCUUAAGCCAAAGAGACAUAUUUUGGGUUGGCAUAUUCUGGAUUCCUACCAUUAUAUUUUGAGGUGGCAUAUUAUGGUCUUCUACACUGUGUUCCACCAGCAAUGAAGAGUUCUUGUCUUUCCUCCAGCAAUUUGUCAUUUUUUUAGAGUUUAGCAAUUCUAACAGAUAUAUACCAGCUGUGCUAUCUCAUUGUGGUUUUCAGUUCUGUACUAUGUUGAGCAUCUUUUUGUAUGUUUACUUGCCAUCUGUAGAUCUUCUUUGGUGAGGUGUCUGUUCAGAUCUGUGUGCAUUUUUAAUUGGGCUGUUUAACUUAUUGUUUAGUUUUAAGGGUUUUUUUUUUGUAUAUUUUGAAUACAAAUUCUCAGAUUUGAAUUUUGCAAAUAUUGUCUUUCAGUAUGUGGCUUGUUUUUUUUUAUUCUCUUAAUAAGAUCUUUUCCAGGGUGUAAACUUUUAAUAUUAAAAAAUCCACAU